CCUACGGGGGGCAGCAGUGGGGAAUAUUGGACAAUGGGCGAAAGCCUGAUCCAGCCAUGCCGCGUGAGUGAUGAAGGCCCUAGGGUUGUAAAGCUCUUUCAACGGUGAAGAUAAUGACGGUAACCGUAGAAGAAGCCCCGGCUAACUUCGUGCCAGCAGCCGCGGUAAUA
rnacentral:rRNA from 1 species